rnacentral:rRNA from 1 species
GACAGAGGUGCCAAGCGUUAGGCGGAAUCACUGGGCUUAAAGCGUGUGUAGGCGGAUCGUUAAGUGCUUUGUGAAAUCCCACAGCUCAACUGUGGAACUGCUUGGCAUACUGGCGAUCUUGAGCCAUCUAGGGGUUGCUGGAACAAACGGUGGAGCGGUGAAAUUCGUAGAUAUUCGCAAGAACACCAGUGGCGAAGGCGGCUCACUGGCCCGGUACUGACGCUGAGGUGCGAAAGCGUGGGGAGCAAACAGG